GUCAACCUGGCCUCGGGUCUCCUGGGCGGUGGAGCUCGUCUGGGGCUGUGCGUGGGGCUGCCAGGCCUGGCCCUUGGCUCACCUGCAUCUACUCUGAAAACUGAACACAGUUCCUUUGCUGCUUAGAUAGGCUGCGAGUCCUGCAGGUGGCUGGCUGGUCAAGCUGGGAGAGUAGGGUUUGGGUGAUGUCUGCGCCUGAGUCACGUUCUGGGACAUGACAAUUCCAUGACCGGUUACCACUGAAGAGAGCCAAGACAAUGAGUGGAAUCAGGCCAUGCGUGGGGCCAAGAUAAACUGGGCUAACGCUCCAAUGUCCAGAAUGGCUUGGUGCCUGGACACCACCCCUGUGAACACCAAGCCUCCUAGCCCCUGCCUUGCCUUUCUGGUAGGCGAGAUUUCCCCACAUGCUACCACGCCACCAAACCACAUCUAGCAAGGCAGAAGCUUGAGUAUGUUAUUGUAUUACAACAUUCUUAUAA